rnacentral:rRNA from 1 species
CCGGGAAUCUUGCACAAUGGGCGAAAGCCUGAUGCAGCAACGCCGCGUGAGCGAUGAAGGUCUUCGGAUCGUAAAGCUCUGUUGUUGGGGACGAAGGGCGAAGGGUUAAUAGCCCCUAGCCUGACGGUACCCUUCGAGGAAGCCCCGGCCAACUACGUGCCAGCAGCCGCGGUAAUACGUAGGGGGCAAGCGUUGUCCGGAAUCAUUGGGCGUAAAGGGUGCGUAGGCGGCCUGGUAAGUCUGCUGUGAAAUCCUGGGGCUCAACCCCAGGCUUGCAGUGGAAACUGCCAGGCUAGAGGAUGGUAGAGGCCAGUGGAAUUCCCGGUGUAGCGGUGAAAUGCGCAGAUAUCGGGAGGAACACCAGUAGCGAAGGCGGCUGGCUGGGCCAUUCCUGACGCUGAGGCACGAAAGCUAGGGGAGCAAACAGGAUUAGAUACCCGCGUAGUCC